AACCCGGUGACAGGUGCUGCAUGGCUGUCGUCAGCUCGUGUCGUGAGAUGUUGGGUUAAGUCCCGCAACGAGCGCAACCCUUGUCUUUAAUUGCCAUCAUUUAGUUUGGGCACUUUAAAGAGACUGCCGGUGUUAAGCCGGAGAAGUGGGGAUGACGUCAAGUCCUCAUGGCCUUUAUGCCCAGGGCUACACACGUGCUACAAUGGGCGGUACAAAGAGAAGCAACCUCGCGAGGGUGAGCAAAUCUCAAAAAGCCGUUCUCAGUUCGGAUUGAAGUCUGCAACUCGACUCCAUGAAGUUGGAAUCGCUAGUAAUCGUGGAUCAGCAUGCCACGGUGAAUACGUUCCCGGGCCUU
rnacentral:rRNA from 1 species